rnacentral:rRNA from 1 species
GAAGAAGGUAUCCCCCCUAUACGCAGAUUUCUAGCUUGCCUAUGUGUUGAUAAGUGCAUUCGGCCAAACAAUUUGCGGACCAAAUAAACUUGUUGCAGAUACAGAAGAACAAGGCUGCACACAAGGAGUUGCCUGAAUUGCAGUGGCAGCGGUGUUGUAAUAUGAAUCAAGCUUGUGAAGAAAAAUUUUGUUACUUUAAUGACACACACUUGCAUUCCACAUCCCACAUCGAACCUUCCAGACUCAUCCAAGUGACCAUUUGCAACAUCCUUUUCCGGUCAAUCUGGAUUAUUUCAAGGUUUUCAUCACUCUGGU